GUGGGGAAUCUUGCGCAAUGGGCGAAAGCCUGACGCAGCCAUGCCGCGUGAAUGAUGAAGGUCUUAGGAUUGUAAAAUUCUUUCACCGGGGACGAUAAUGACGGUACCCGGAGAAGAAGCCCCGGCUAACUUCGUGCCAGCAGCCGCGGUAAUACGAAGGGGGCUAGCGUUGCUCGGAAUUACUGGGCGUAAAGGGCGCGUAGGCGGACAGUUUAGUCAGAGGUGAAAGCCCAGGGCUCAACCUUGGAAUUGCCUUUGAUACUGGCUGUAUUGAGUACGGGAGAGGUGAGUGGAACUCCGAGUGUAGAGGUGAAAUUCGUAGAUAUUCGGAAGAACACCAGUGGCGAAGGCGACUCACUGGCCCGUUACUGACGCUGAGGCGCGAAAGCGUGGGGAGCAAACAGGAUUAGAUACCCCGGUAGUCC
rnacentral:rRNA from 1 species